CAGUAGCCGCGGGAAUACGGAGGGGGCCAGCGUUGUUCGGAAUUACUGGGCGUAAAGCGCACGUAGGCGGCUUGGUAAGUUAGAGGUGAAAGCCUGGAGCUCAACUCCAGAACUGCCUUUGAUACUGAAGAUCUUGAGUUCGGGAGAGGUGAGUGGAACUGCGAGUGCAGAGGUGAAAUUCGUAGAUAUUCGCAAGAACACCAGUGGCGAAGGCGGCUCACUGGCCCGAUACUGACGCUGAGGCACGAAAGCGUGGGGAGCAAACAGGAUUAGAUACCCGCGUAGUCCCUGUCUCUUAUAC
rnacentral:rRNA from 1 species